rnacentral:lncRNA from 1 species
UUUCCUAUUUUCCUAUAUUGUUCGUAAUUUAUUGUAUUACUUUAUGUUUCAAAUAUAUUAUUGAUCAAGAAAAUAAAAAUAUAAUGUAGUUAUUCAGAAAUCAAUGAGAAUAAAAAUAAUCAUGCAUUAUUUUGGAGGAGGGAGAAGUAUGAGUCGGAUGACAAAAAUCAUGAAAAUAGGAAAAAGUGUGUCAUAUUCUAAAGUUGAGGGUUUAUUUCACAGAAUUUGUAGUUGAGGGUUUUUUUAACGAUUCAUCUUUAGUUGAGGGGUUUAAUUACUAAAAAUCCAAUUAUUAAAACUGAAGUACAAAAUAGGUUUGUUUGGAAACAUGAAUUACAGUUUAAAAAGAUUGUUUGUUUGGAAACAUGGAU